CAACGUCGUGGCGCCGAACAUAUUAGGAGUGUCUAUGCCAUUGAGAUAGGCUUUAAUUUCUGGUAUGCCAGGCCCAGCUGCGGUGGGAGCAAAGCAUACACAGAGAGCAGCAGCAACAAAAGUCAGAAGGAAGUUGGCAGUGGCGAACAAAACCAAGUCUAAUUGGUUCGUAUGUACUUACCUUUCUUCCUUUAUGUAAUCAACCACUUUCAAAAGCUUGUAGCCAGCAAUAUUUUCAAUGGCAAGAUUGAUGAGAGUGGCAAUGAUCCCUGUAAGAAGUCCAACAAGACAAGCCAAAGUCCAUUUAGAGAAUAUGUACUGCAGCACUUGAACUUUGGAUCUGCUUCUCCAAUCAUGCUUAAACAGAUCGUUCUCAUUGAUCCUGAAUUCAAACCAAAUCCAAUUCAACAAAUUGGAGAAUUCAACGAAAAAGGAAAAAAAAAAAGGUAUGCUUUUGCUUUCAUGUAGUACUAUUCUUACUCGUAAUCCAAGCUUUCAAUGAGAGAAACUUUUGCCCCAACAAUGGCAAGAGGACUAGAAGAGAGAGUUCUGUUUCUCUUGAGAAGGGGUUGGUUUAAAGGAUUGCUUUCUGGGUCUCUUUCUUCAUCUUGAGGUUCUGCUUCCAUGGAGUUUGUGAGAGUUGAUUCUGUAACAAAGCUUGGAUUCUCAUCCAUUGGUGCAGUGAAAUGGACACAGAGAGACGAGAAGAGAAGAUGGUCAAGUAUUGGGGUUGGGUUUAGUUUGUGGAUUGGGAGAAAGUGCAAAGCUUCUCCUCUGUUCUAGGAUUUUAAUGCAACAAUGUCGUCUCAAUCAUGCACUUGUCUUGUCAUUUUCUCCCUUGUGGUCAUUUUAAUGGCCAGUUCAUUUUUUCCCAUAUUCUUUACCCUUUUUCCACUUUUCAUUUUUGGUUUGUCAGUAGUUCUUUUUGGGUGGAAAAAAAAAAUCAUGUUUAUUUGUUUUCAUCAAGACUCCAACUUAUCUUGGUAUCAACAUGUAUUCUCUUUUUAAAGGUCAGACGUUCAAUCUCUACCCUUACUCCUUCGUCGUGAUGUAUUAGAAAACAACUUUAACACUCAUUUGGUUUGAGCCCAUUUGGAUCAUUAAUUUACAA